rnacentral:rRNA from 1 species
AUGCCGCGUGAGUGAUGAAGGCCUUAGGGUUGUAAGCUCUUUCGUAUCGACGAUAAGGACGGUACUGACUGAAGAAGCAACGGUUAACUUCGCGUCAGCCGCCGCGGUAAUA